rnacentral:rRNA from 1 species
AAACCUGACGGAGCAAUACCGCGUGAGGGAGGAAGGCUCUUGGGUCGUAAACCUCUUUUCUCAAGGAAGAAGAAAGUGACGGUACUUGAGGAAUAAGCAUCGGCUAACUCCGUGCCAGCAGCCGCGGUAAUACGGAGGAUGCAAGCGUUAUCCGGAAUGAUUGGGCGUAAAGGGUCUGCAGGUGGAACUGAAAGUCUGCUGUUAAAGAGUUUGGCUUAACCAAAUAAAAGCGGUGGAAACUACAGAACUAGAGUGCGGUAGGGGCAAAAGGAAUUCCUGGUGUAGCGGUGAAAUGCGUAGAUAUCAGGAAGAACACCGGUGGCGAAAGCGUUUUGCUAGACCGUAACUGACACUGAGGGACGAAAGCUAGGGGAGCGAAUGGGAUUAGAUACCCCAGUAGUCCUAGCCGUAAACGAUGGAUACUAGGCGUGGCUUGUAUCGACCCGAGCCGUGCCGGAGCUAACGCGUUAAGUAUCCCGCCUGGGGAGUACGCACGCAAGUGUGAAACUCAAAGGAAUUGACGGGGGCCCGCACAAGCGGUGGAGUAUGUGGUUUAAUUCGAUGCAACGCGAAGAACCUUACCAAGACUUGACAUCCUGCGAAUCCCGGUGAAAGCUGGGAGUGCCUUAGGGAGCGCAGAGACAGGUGGUGCAUGGCUGUCGUCAGCUCGUGUCGUGAGAUGUUGGGUUAAGUCCCGCAACGAGCGCAACCCUCGUUUUUAGUUGCCAGCAUUAAGUUGGGCACUCUAGAGAGACUGCCGGUGACAAACCGGAGGAAGGUGGGGAUGACGUCAAGUCAGCAUGCCCCUUACGUCUUGGGCUACACACGUACUACAAUGCUACGGACAGAGGGCAGCGAGCCAGGGAUGGCAAGCGAAUCCAGAAACCGUAGCCCUUUCGGAUCGAAGGCUGCAACUCGCCUUCGUGAAGGAGGAAUCGC